rnacentral:rRNA from 1 species
GACGAACGCUGGCGGCGUGCUUAACACAUGCAAGUCGAACGGAAAGGCCCUGCUUUUGUGGGGUGCUCGAGUGGCGAACGGGUGAGUAACACGUGAGUAAACUGCCCUUGACUUUGGGAUAACUUCAGGAAACUGGGGCUAAUACCGGAUAGGAGCUCCUGCACCAUGGUGGGGGUUGGAAAGUUUCGGCGGUUGGGGAUGGACUGGCGGGUUAUCAGCUUGUUGGUGGGGUAGUGGCUUACAAAGGCUUUGACGGGUAGCCGGCCUGAGAGGGUGACCGGCCACAUUGCGCCUGCGGGACGCCCCAGACGCCUAUGGGAGGCAGCAGUCGGGAAUAUGGCGCAACGGGCGGAAGUCUGAGGCAGCAACGCCGCGUUCGUGAUGACGGCCUUCGGGUUGUAAACCGCUUUCUCCUUUGACGAAGCGUGAGUGACGGUAAUGGGUAAAGAAGCACCGGCUAACUACGUG